GUGAGGAAUCUUCCACAAUGGGCGAAAGCCUGAUGGAGCAACGCCGCGUGAAGGAUGAAGGUCUUCGGAUUGUAAACUUCUUUUAUGAGUGAAGAAUAUGACGGUAACUCAUGAAUAAGCACCGGCUAACUACGUGCCAGCAGCCGCGGUCAUACGUAGGGUGCAAGCAUUAUCCGGAGUGACUGGGCGUAAAGAGUUGCGUAGGCGGUUAUGUAAGCGAAUAGUGAAACCUGGUGGCUCAACCACACAGACUAUUAUUCGAACUGCAUAACUCGAGAAUGGUAGAGGUAACUGGAAUUUCUUGUGUAGGAGUGAAAUCCGUAGAUAUAAGAAGGAACACCAAUGGCGUAGGCAGGUUACUGGGCCAUUUCUGACGCUAAGGCACGAAAGCGUGGGGAGCGAACCGGAUUAGAUACCCGGAUAGUCC
rnacentral:rRNA from 1 species